rnacentral:rRNA from 1 species
GAUGAACGCUGGCGGCGUGCCUAACACAUGCAAGUCGAACGAAGCGCUUUGAAGUUUUCGGACAGAUGAGUGACUGAGUGGCGGACGGGUGAGUAACGCGUGGGUAACCUGCCUCAUACAGGGGGAUAACAGUUAGAAAUGACUGCUAAUACCGCAUAAGCGCACAGUACCGCAUGGUACAGUGUGAAAAACUCCGGUGGUAUGAGAUGGACCUGCGUCUGAUUAGCUAGUUGGUGAGGUAACGGCCCACCAAGGCGACGAUCAGUAGCCGACCUGAGAGGGUGACCGGCCACAUUGGGACUGAGACACGGCCCAAACUCCUACGGGAGGCAGCAGUAGGGAAUUUUCGGCAAUGGGCGAAAGCCUGACCGAGCAACGCCGCGUGAGGGAAGAAGGUCUUCGGAUCGUAAACCUUUGUCUUUGGGGAAGAUAGUGACGGUACCCAAGGAGGAAGCCACGGCUAACUACGUGCCAGCCGCCGCCGUAAGAC